rnacentral:misc_RNA from 1 species
GGCGCGUCAUGGGUGCUAC